GACGAACGCUAGCGGCGUGCCUAAACUAUGCAAGUCGAGCGGGGUACAGCGCAGAAUCUCCUUCGGGAGUGGACGUGCUGCUACCUAGCGGCGAACGGGUGAGUAACGCGUGAGGAACCUGCCCCACUGUCUGGGAUAACCGACCGAAAGGUCAGCUAAUACCGGAUAUGAGGCACCAUCGCAUGAUGGAGCCUGGAAAGGGGAAACCCGCAGCGGGAGGGCCUCGCGACCUAUCAGCUUGUUGGUGAGGUAACGGCUCACCAAGGCGACGACGGGUAGCCGGCCUGAGAGGGUGUCCGGCCACACUGGGACUGAGACACGGCCCAGACUCCUACGGGAGGCAGCAAGUGGGAAUAUUGCGCAAUGGGCGAAAGCCUGACGCAGCGACGCCGCGUGAGGGAUGAAAGCCUUCGGGUUGUAAACCUCUGUUGACGGGGACGAAGAUCUGACGGUACCCGUCGAGGAAGCCCCGGCUAACUCCGUG
rnacentral:rRNA from 1 species